GACGAACCGUGCGAACGUUGUUCGGAAUCACUGGGCUUAAAGGGCGCGUAGGCGGGUUCGCAAGUCUGCGGUGAAAUCCUCCAGCUUAACUGGAGAAGUGCCGUGGAUACUGCAAACCUCGAGGAGGGUAGGGGCAUCUGGAACAGUAGGUGGAGCGGUGAAAUGCGUUGAUAUCUACUGGAACUCCGGUGGCGAAGGCGAGGUGCUGGACCCUUUCUGACGCUGAUGCGCGAAAGCCAGGGGAGCGAACGGG
rnacentral:rRNA from 1 species